GAGAGCCUUAGUCCCACAUCUGCAAAUGCAGAUAAUCCUGUGAGCUCAUGCAGCUGUAUGGGAAAAAGAUAACAACGUGAAAUAUAUCGCUAUUGGUGAGAUAUAAAGGAGAGACAUGGCAGAGAUGGAACCAGCUUGGACUAAAGGGGGAUCCACCGGCCGAGGAAGGCAGGUAGCCCAAGGAAGGAGGCGGAGAUCUUCCCAAGGCUUCCCUCCAUAGAAAGGAAGGAAGGAGAAAUCAUUAAGCAAGAGAAGGGCCAUUUAACCAGGGAAAUCACCAAGUUUUUUGGGAUUAGGGCUAAGAAGACAGUCAGGGAAGACAAGCUGGUUUGGAAACAUUGACUUUGAAACGCCCGUAGAAUUUUCAAACAGAGAUAAUCGAAUUCACAGGUUUCCAGGAAUGUGCAUUUGGAAUUGGCAAAGGAAUCUGCUGAAGAAGCUAAAGUCAAUAGUGGAUUCCAGAAAAGGAGGAAAAUGAGGAUGGGUCUUCUGCAAUGUAGACUGGAUGGGACUAGGGGGGAAUGUUUGGAAUCCAGAGAGAAAAAUGAUAAACCACUGAAUUGAAUAAAAUACCCAAGGACUUGUCUGAUGAUUUCUUCCAAGAACACUACAAAUAAAAAAGCAAACUAGAUACUGAAAUUAUGUACUUAGAAAUGUCUUUCUCACUCCAAAUGUAAAUAUAUUUUAUGGUUUCUUUCAGUACUUUAAAAUUUUAUUUUUCAUUUAGUUUUUUAAAGGUUCUGAACUAUAUUUUUAAUAUAGUAUGAUGUACUACAUUGUCAUUUUAAAUGGAGAGCAGUUCACCAAAACUAUGUCAUUAUUAGUAUGUUCUUUCUGCUCAUGUGUUUAUCAUGUAAAUUCACAUACAAGCACACAUGCACACUCACACACACUCACACAGAGGUAUUUGUAAUCUAUGCUCCCCCACUGGUCUACUGGUGUUCUGCCAAGGCCAUUUAUUUUUAUAUUUUAACAUCUUUAUAUUUGUUAAGGCACAGAAACCAACCUUCUUAAAAAAGAUUGUUUGAAAGUCUUCACUGUCAACUUUGUGUGUACAGGAUAAUCUCUUCACCACGGUUGUGAAGAAUGCUAAGAAAUUAUUUUCAACAUUCCUUUUUCUAGUUUUGUUUCCUAAUACCACCCAC
rnacentral:lncRNA from 10 species